rnacentral:misc_RNA from 1 species
AAGUCGUAACAAGGUUUCCGUAGGUGAACCUGCGGAAGGAUCAUUAUUGAAUUUACAUGGGUUGUGCUGGUUCUUACAAGUGCACGCCUAUAUCAAUUUCCAUACACCUGUGCACCUUUGUAGACUGGGAGAGAAAUCUUCUGGUCUGCGUUUUAUACACUCUUUUUUAUUACAUUGAAUGUUUCUUGUCUUUUGACAAACAAAUCUAUACAACUUUAAGCAACGGAUCUCUUGGCUCUC